CAGUGCUGAGACUUGAACCCAGUACCUCACAUAUGCAAGACAUGUGCUCUACCACUGAGCCACAACCCAGCCCCAGAUACGAAUGAUUUUAAAGAUGCCAUUCAAGGUACAGUUUUCCUCCCAAGAUGCCCAGACCCCCACAGACUCCCACGCAGUUUCAGAACAUAGGUGUGUUAGUUUGGAGGGUUGGGGGUUUUGUGGGGUUUGUGCCUAAUAUCAGCAAGCCUCAUGGUCCCUCAGCGGUCCCUGUCUGCAUGGCUGCCUGCAUGGGCUCUUUCUAGGUGUGACAGCUGCUGAGGCCAUGGGAGGAGCCCGUGGGUCCUAGGGGCCAUGUGGGUGCCUUGCAAUCAGCACUCACCUGCUCCAGCCAGAGCCUCAACUCCACAGAGCAUGGAAACCCCGGGACCAACCCCGGCCCAUCCAUCUAGACACAGGGGAACUCUCCUGGAAGACCAUGGGACCUGCAGGUGAUGUGGCUAGGGAACUUUCAACAGCACAGUCUUGCGGUGGACAUGUCCUGGAGCCCUUGCCAGGUUCUCGGUCUUCAGAGCCCAGGCCUCAGCCUCUCCUGGGUCAGUCUGGGCCUUAUCCUUUAUCUCCGAGGUGCAAGCCAGCACCUGGAGGCCACAGCUGCUGCUGGUCCACUUUUCUGCAGCAAAAGGCACUCUGGCACCAGGUGGGAGUCUGGGGCAGGAGGAUUGCAAGUUUGAGGCCAAUCUGGGCAUCUCAGCAAGACCCUGUCUCAAAAAAUAAAAGGGCUGGGGAUGGGGCUUGGUUGUUAAGUGCGUCUGGGUUUAAGCCCUAGCACCAAGAAAAAGAAAAAGGCCUCUGCACCAGGUGUCCAGCGGUGAGGCAGAGCAGAGCUCAGUCUUGCUCCAAGGCAGAGUCUGAGGACUGCUUGAGGCCUGAAUGGACCCCGGCAGGAUGAUGUUUUCUGGCCACCAGCCGAUCCUGAGGGCUUGCUUCAGGUGGGGUUGUGGCCUCUUGACCACCACGUUGUGCGACCUCUCCAGCCCUUUCCAGAGCCGGCCGCACCGGGAUUACCUGAGGCCCAAGUAGAGGCAGCAGUCUCAAGUGACCAAGGGCGAUAUGCCUCCGCCCAGGUGUGGGCAGCAGGUGGAGACACCUCCAGCAGCCCGGACACAGCCACAGUCUCCUCAGCGCUCUGCGGUGUUGUGGAAGAGGGUCCUCCCGGCCCUCAUGCACCUGUCGGACUCCAUCUGCAGCACGAGCCUCCCAGCGCCCGGGUUCUCCUCCCCGCUGGGUUGAACAAUGAGAUUUUUUUUCAUCAUCAUUUCAAAUGUUUUUCACAAGCUUGAUUUAAAAAGGGAAAAUUCCCCACCAUAUUUUCGGUCUGAUUAUCAGAUGAUGAUGGACACUAGAUUGAUAAGAGUCACUCGAGGAGACCCGAGCUCUUGUGUAUAACAGCUACUCCAAUUACCAGGCACGGCGGAACUACUAUUGAUCCCCGCUCACACUGGGCGAUAACUGAGCAUUUUCCACUUCUUUAAAGUGCUGUUAGCCAGAAACACCCAUCAGUGGAAAGCAGUAGAUUUUCCUUUAAACACAGCUCAAUACAAUAAACAGCACACGCUCAAAGUUCAGAGUUCUCCAAUCUCAGUCAAACAAGUAACUGCCCGGCACCAACACACAGACCUUCCAGCUGCUAAAUGGUUCAUUAUGGAACAGGAGAGAGGAGGUCAUCAGCUCUGUGACCUUAGCCGCCCCACAGCCGCACGAAGGAAAGUGUCCUUCGCUCCAUUUUCUUCCAGGGGUUUAAACAGGGCG
rnacentral:tRNA from 1 species